CCACCUGACAUCUUAAAGUAAUAAUAAAAGAUUUCUCAUUUUUAUCUAAAUAAUCUUUACAAGAGCGUACAUCUUUUCCUUCCCUAUCACUACCAAUGUAAGUGGCAUCUCCAUCACUAGAAAGAAAAAUAUCAUCUCCAACACUUUGAGGAGUAUAACUAGAGCUUUUCAUCACUAUAGUUUAAUUACAAAUAUUAUAGCUUAGUUUUCAACAAAGAAACAAAUUAUUA
rnacentral:lncRNA from 1 species